rnacentral:misc_RNA from 1 species
UUUCCGUAGGUGAACCUGCGGAAGGAUCAUUAAAAAAUAUCACUCGAUUGAGAGUGAUUUAAUAAUCAUCCUACCCUUUGUGAGUUUGUUUGUAAUGUUAAAUUUAUGUUGUCUAUCCCUUGGAAAGUUUGUUCAUUUAAACCCCAAGGGAAUAGGCUUUCAUAGACCUUUUUUUUAAAAUUAAACAUUUUGUAUUCAUUUGUCUAAAAUUUAUUUUUAAAAUAAUUUAAAAACAACUUUUGACAAUGGAUCUCUUGGUUCUCGCAACGAUGAAGAACGCAGCAAAAUGCAAUAAGUAAUGUGAAUUGCAGAAUACGUGAAUCAUCAAAUCUUCGAACGCAUAUUGCACUUUUUUAGUUUACUAAAAAGUAUGUCUGUCUGAGUAUCAGUAAAAUAUUCUCAUAAAAAAAUUUUUUUUUUUAUGGUCAUGAGUGUUUUACAACGAUAAACAAGUUGUUUCACUUUAAAUUGAUUUUUAAAAGCCAAUUUUUUUUGGUUUUUAUCUAAUAAAUUGGACAGAAUUUCCCGUAAAAAGGAAUAAACUUUUCAGUUUUAAAGGGUAAAAAUUAAAAUAUUAAUUGUUGCUUAAUUUAAAAGGAAAAUUUAAUUUAAAAUAACUUGAUCUCAAAUCAGAUAAGAGUACCCGCUGAACUUAAGCAUAUCAAUAAGCGGAGGAAAAGAAACUAACAAGGAUUCCCUUAGUAACGGCGAGUGAAGCGGGAAGAGCUCAAAUUUGAAAUCUUCAGGUUCUACCUUGACGAAUUGUAGUUUAAAGAAGUGUUUUCUGUUAGAGGAGUAGCAAAAGUUCCUUGGAAUGGGACAUCAUAGAGGGUGAGAAUCCCGUAUUUGGUUAUUCUUUCUAGCUUUGUGAUACACUUUCAAAGAGUCGGAUUGUUCGGGAAUGCAGUCCAAAAUGGGUGGUAAAUCUCAUCUAAAGCUAAAUAUUGGCGAGAGACCGAUAGCGAACAAGUACCGUGAGGGAAAGAUGAAAAGAACUUUGAAAAGAGAGUUAAACAGUACGUGAAAUUGUCAAAAGGGAAGCGUUUGACACCAGUGUUGUUUUCCGAAAAUCAAUUAAGAAGAGUUGAUUUUGUGUUGUAUUGACCUUAUCAGCUUUCUUCACUCUUUUCCUGUCUUUCUUAAUGCACUUUUCGUUAACAAGUCAACAUCAAUUUCUUUUGUUGUAAAAGGGUCAUUGGAAGGUGGCUUUCUUUCGGAGAAAGUGUUUAUAGCCUUUGAUCUCUGCAAUCGGAGAGACUGAGGUCUGCAGCGUAGAUCCUUCGGGGCUAGAUACACUUGUGCUAAGCUACAGCUUUUCAUAGACAACUUGUUGACUAUGUUUAGUCUUGUAACUUACCCGCUUAUGCUAUUUUACCUACGCUUAGGAUGUUG